rnacentral:rRNA from 1 species
AGUGAACGCUGGCGGUAGGCCUAACACAUGCAAGUCGAACGGCAGCACAGUAAGAGCUUGCUCUUACGGGUGGCGAGUGGCGGACGGGUGAGGAAUACAUCGGAAUCUACUUUUUCGUGGGGGAUAACGUAGGGAAACUUACGCUAAUACCGCAUACGACCUACGGGUGAAAGCAGGGGAUCUUCGGACCUUGCGCGAUUGAAUGAGCCGAUGUCGGAUUAGCUAGUUGGCGGGGUAAAGGCCCACCAAGGCGACGAUCCGUAGCUGGUCUGAGAGGAUGAUCAGCCACACUGGUACUGAGACACGGUCCAGACUCCUACGGGAGGCAGCAGUGGGGAAUAUUGGACAAUGGGCGCAAGCCUGAUCCAGCCAUACCGCGUGGGUGAAGAAGGCCUUCGGGUUGUAAAGCCCUUUUGUUGGGAAAGAAAAGCAGCAGGUUAAUACCCCGCUGUUCUGACGGUACCCAAAGAAUAAGCACCGGCUAACUUCGCG